rnacentral:rRNA from 1 species
AAGGCUGAGGCGUGAUGACGAGGCACUACGGUGCUGAAGCAACAAAUGCCCUGCUUCCAGGAAAAGCCUCUAAGCAUCAGGUAACAUCAAAUCGUACCCCAAACCGACACAGGUGGUCAGGUAGAGAAUACCAAGGCGCUUGAGAGAACUCGGGUGAAGGAACUAGGCAAAAUGGUGCCGUAACUUCGGGAGAAGGCACGCUGAUAUGUAGGUGAAGUCCCUCGCGGAUGGAGCUGAAAUCAGUCGAAGAUACCAGCUGGCUGCAACUGUUUAUUAAAAACACAGCACUGUGCAAACACGAAAGUGGACGUAUACGGUGUGACGCCUGCCCGGUGCCGGAAGGUUAAUUGAUGGGGUUAGCGCAAGCGAAGCUCUUGAUCGAAGCCCCGGUAAACGGCGGCCGUAACUAUAACGGUCCUAAGGUAGCGAAAUUCCUUGUCGGGUAAGUUCCGACCUGCACGAAUGGCGUAAUGAUGGCCAGGCUGUCUCCACCCGAGACUCAGUGAAAUUGAACUCGCUGUGAAGAUGCAGUGUACCCGCGGCAAGACGGAAAGACCCCGUGAACCUUUACUAUAGCUUGACACUGAACAUUGAGCCUUGAUGUGUAGGAUAGGUGGGAGGCUUUGAAGUGUGGACGCCAGUCUGCAUGGAGCCGACCUUGAAAUACCACCCUUUAAUGUUUGAUGUUCUAACGUUGACCCGUAAUCCGGGUUGCGGACAGUGUCUGGUGGGUAGUUUGACUGGGGCGGUCUCCUCCUAAAGAGUAACGGAGGAGCACGAAGGUUGGCUAAUCCUGGUCGGACAUCAGGAGGUUAGUGCAAUGGCAUAAGCCAGCUUGACUGCGAGCGUGACGGCGCGAGCAGGUGCGAAAGCAGGUCAUAGUGAUCCGGUGGUUCUGAAUGGAAGGGCCAUCGCUCAACGGAUAAAAGGUACUCCGGGGAUAACAGGCUGAUACCGCCCAAGAGUUCAUAUCGACGGCGGUGUUUGGCACCUCGAUGUCGGCUCAUCACAUCCUGGGGCUGAAGUAGGUCCCAAGGGUAUGGCUGUUCGCCAUUUAAAGUGGUACGCGAGCUGGGUUUAGAACGUCGUGAGACAGUUCGGUCCCUAUCUGCCGUGGGCGCUGGAGAACUGAGGGGGGCUGCUCCUAGUACGAGAGGACCGGAGUGGACGCAUCACUGGUGUUCGGGUUGUCAUGCCAAUGGCACUGCCCGGUAGCUAAAUGCGGAAGAGAUAAGUGCUGAAAGCAUCUAAGCACGAAACUUGCCCCGAGAUGAGUUCUCCCUGACUCCUUGAGAGUCCUGAAGGAACGUUGAAGACGACGACGUUGAUAGGCCGGGUGUGUAAGCGCAGCGAUGCGUUGAGCUAACCGGUACUAAUGAACCGUGAGGCUUAACCUU